UUGGUUUUUUUUUUUUUUUUGGCAGAAAAGGCAUCGUUUAUAAAACUAUUUACUUUGGAAAUGCAGGAGUCUUACUCUAAUGCCAGUUCCUUCCUGAGCUCUGCCCUGAACACGACUCCACUUCAGUGGUACCUUUGUGCAUCGGGGCGCUGUAUGAACAGCAGGUUUGACCGCUCAACUCUGGCUAAACCCGAAUUCUCUUAAGAAAACCCCUCAUGGCAGCAUUUUCUAACAGGGCAGGUUUUGUGGAGUGUUUGGAAUAGAAGCUUGUGCGUGGAACGGAGGCACACAGCCCCAGCCCUGUGAAAUACGGGUGGGUGUGCAGAGGGGAGCCGGCUCUCUGCAGAGUGUUAAUGAUGCCUCACCUGCACGUUCAACGAGGCUGCGGAUCCACCGAACCGAGCGGCGGGGAUGGACUGAGGGUAUCCACUCCGGGGUCAGGAUGGGGCUGAAUAGCUGAGCUGAAACGUCCUGGCUGAAGUGCCAUUCAGCAGCGAUCUCCGUGCAGCUCUUGGGUAUAACUCUUAGGGAUAAUGUUUCAACCACAUACUUUUCUGCCCACGCCUUCCCCCCUACAUUUUUUUUUUUUAAUUUUAUUUUUAUUUCGUUUUUAAAUUAAAGGCCAAAAAAAGAAAACACCCUCUCCAAUGUACACUUAAUGCAUGUAGCGUACUUCCCUUGCACCGCCCCCCGCCCCAGCUUCAGCCUUCAAUCCCCCUUCACACGGGUAUAGUGGCUCGGUACUCUCGGGCUUUUUCAAGGCGGUUAAGCUGCUAAAAUGUACUGACAGCUUAAGAAAUGAAUGAGAUUUUUUUUUCAGCCAUGAAGAAAGGGUAUUUAGUAACCACGCUUCGAUGGCAUCAUGCUUCCAUGAAACGAGUCCGGACACUUUGGUUUAACAAUCAGUAAUAUCAUAUUCGGUACAGUAAAUGCCUCCAUGUACGCUUAUAUAAUUCUAUUCCCCCUUGACUAUAAGCUUGCCGUAUUUAUUCCAGGUUACCUGGGCAAUUAAGGUAAGGACUGCUCAGCAGAUACUGAUACCCUGCUGCUAAGGCAUGGCGAAUGGGGACGGAGCAGUGCGCUAACAAAGAGAGAGAGGUAGUCAAACAUUUUGAAGAGGGGUGAAUAGGACUGAAGGUGGAUGGAUGAAUGGAGGCAAAGAGGGAGAGGAAGAAGCAUUCAAUGGUCCAGACUUCUCUCUGCAUUUGUAGAUUUAAGUUUAGGUGUCCGCCUCUAGCCAGCUUCCAGUUAAUCCUCAACAGCUUCUAGUGAUUAGAAGUUAGUCUAUUUAGCAUGCUAUAUCCUUCUUCCAUGGGUUUUAGUUACAAGUUAUACGAUUAGGAUUGCGAGAACAGUAGUGAACUAAACUUCCCAGUAAGAGGUCUUCACACCAGGGAAGUGUUACUUUGCUGCAGCAGCCCUGCCUCGUCAGUCAUUAGGAAGCUGCAGGUUGUCAGAGGCUUCUCUUGCGCGCACACAAGCGCAGACACACACGCGCACACACACAAAACCACAGCACUAAAACUAAAUUAAGAAGCCGAUGAUUAAGACAAGCGUCUACAAGGCCUGUCAUUUCAGCAUCCUUCCAUCAUAACAUUGUGGCACCGAGAAAUUUGCUUGAAAACCCUGGAAAAAAAUGUCUAUGGGAGAGCCUCGUAUUUGAGGCUGUUAAUAUCAAAUAUAGACUGGGAACUGCCUCGGAUGCAAGAUAGUAUUCCGCAGAGGAAAGGAGCACUGCAGAGACCUUGGUGCUAUCCGCGCGUUCCCGAAACUCUGGAUUGACUUGAUCGUCUCUGAAAAUGCAGAACACCCCAUGAGAUCUCUCCUUUCCACCAACCGUGUGGAAGAUGCUUGCAGAACAGCUCUGAAAACAAAACAACUUAAUUGAAGGCAGUUCGUGCAACAAUUGUAUAAUGGAAUACCUAACAUUUCUUUAUCUGUAACUAACUUAUUUAAUUUGGAUAGUUCAAUAAAUGUCAGCUAUGCCAAGCAUACUCCCA